rnacentral:rRNA from 1 species
UGGCGGCGUGCCUAAUACAUGCAAGUCGAGCGCAGGAAACAAGUAGAUCCCUUCGGGGUGACGCUUGUGGAAUGAGCGGCGGACGGGCGAGUAACACGUGGGCAACCUACCUUGUAGACUGGGAUAACUCCGGGAAACCGGAGCUAAUACGGGAUGAUCAUUUGAAUCGCAUGAUUGAAAUGUAAAAGUGGGGAGUAAUCCUCACACUAUGAGAUGGGCCCGCGGCGCAUUAGCUAGUUGGUAAGGUAAUGGCUUACCAAGGCGACGAUGCGUAGCCGACCUGAGAGGGUGAUCGGCCACACUGGAACUGAGACACGGUCCAGACUCCUACGGGAGGCAGCAGUAGGGAAUCAUCCGCAAUGGGCGAAAGCCUGACGGUGCAACGCCGCGUGAACGAUGAAGGUUUUCGGAUCGUAAAGUUCUGUUAUGAGGGAAGAACAAGUGCCGUUCGAAUAGGGCGGCACCUUGACGGUACCUCACGAGAAAGCCCCGGCUAACUACGUG